GUAGGUGGCAAGCGUUGUCCGGAAUUAUUGGGCGUAAAGCGCGCGCAGGCGGUUCUUUAAGUCUGAUGUGAAAGCCCACGGCUCAACCGUGGAGGGUCAUUGGAAACUGGAGAACUUGAGUACAGAAGAGGAAAGCGGAAUUCCACGUGUAGCGGUGAAAUGCGUAGAGAUGUGGAGGAACACCAGUGGCGAAGGCGGCUUUCUGGUCUAUAACUGACGCUGAGGCGCGAAAGCGUGGGGAGCAAACAGGAUUAGAUACCCUGGUAGUCCACGCCGUAAACGAUGAGUGCUAAGUGUUAGGGGGGUUUUCCGCCCCCCUUAGUGCUGCAGCUAACGCAUUAAGCACUCCGCCUGGGAGUACGGCCGCAAGGCUG
rnacentral:rRNA from 1 species